GGCUCCGAGGGAAUAAGGGUGAGAACUGCUAAUAUGGACAACCGCUCACACCUACAGGCAAUUUAGAGCGACCAAUUAACCUAAUGAGCAUGUCUUUGGACUGAGGAGGGAAGAUGGAGUACUGAUGCAUGUACAAAGAGAAUAUGCAGACUCUGCACAGGGAGGCCCAGCUGGGAUUUGAACCAGGAACCGUCUUGCUGUAAGGUAAAAGUGCAAACCGCUGCACACUAGGAGUCUAUUGAAGCUCUGAGAUGGUGAUUUCUUUGGGCUUUAAUGGUGAAAAUGUUUUCAAAUUGAACCCCGGCUUGUUCUGUCUGUCCUCCAGAGGCUGAAAAAUUUAAAUCAGGAGUUUCAGUGUGUGAUGUUUAACGCUUUCAAGUCAAACUGUACGAUGAAAUGAUGAUUUUCUGUCCUUUUUUUCACAUUCAGCAUCUGUAGUUAUUUACAGUCUCGAUGUCUCCAAACACCGACCCCCUCAGAUGAAGAUAUUCUUGGUCCAAAUCAGGAUAAACUGAGCAGUAAUCUCUGCUCCAGCACGGUGAGGACGCUUCAGUUUAGAGCACAUAAGCUGCGCUCACUCACCAAACCUCGCUCACGUG